ensembl:lncRNA
GUAUUUGCUGAGCACCUGGUAUGUUCAGGAUACCGAUAAAGAAGUGUGUGUGAGAUGGUGUAGAAAGUCAUGAACCUUUAUACGAGACUGUAGAAGUAGCAGGUCAUCUGAUGGCAGGACUGCUAGGGAAGUAAAGGUGAGACGGGGGCCUUCUGGCUGGGGUGGUUAUGAUGGCUUGUGACAAGGGUGAUACUUAAAUUGGAUCAUGAGUAGUAGUGAGAACUUUAAAACGGGAGUUGUGAGAGAGCCAUAGCUUGGGAUAGGCAAAAGAACUGAAGAGCAAAUGUGGAGAGGACAGAUUAAAAUUCCUUAAUCUACAAUACCAGUUUUGAAUGAAUAUGGGUAUGUCGCAUGCCUAAUGAGAAAUUGAAAAUCGGUCUCCCCCAAAACAAAAAUAAAAACAGAAACAAACCCGUGCCAUCCCUUAGAGAUACAAUUGCCCUUAUUUGCACAUUUACAUCUCAUCUUGAAUAUCCUUGCUUUUUUUUUUAUCCUGACUUUUUCCUCAAAGACAGUUUUCAAAACAGAGACUGUCAUAUUUAAUAAACUCUGUCAGAGACAUCCUGAGCCAGGCUACCCAACUGCCACUUUGCUUUAUGUCUUUAAAUGUAUAUGCAAAUUCCAUGACUUUCCUCUCUGUGUGUGUUGACUAUUGUCCCAUACCUCUCAAAAGUAUGAAGAAUGCACGUGUGUCUCCAAAGGCAAACUGGCCACAUGUCAUCCCUGCGAUGGCCAGAGGUGAUGGCCUGGAAGAGCUGUGGCCAGUGAGGAGGGACCAGACUCCUUGGAAGAUGAUGGCCACUGCAGAGUGCACACUCUACUCAGAUCAGCGUCACCAACAUACCAUCUCCGGCUUGCUCUCCAGGAAGAAUGAAUACGUGGAAGAUGACGUUUGAUUCUUCCUGCUGGCCACUGACCCUAGAGAGACAUCAUGGACAACAUGGACACUCACUUCAACAUGAGGCUACUGAGACGUGUUAUCAGGUAAUUGGCUAGUCAUGCUGUGCCCAAUAGCUGAAGGCUUCCCAAUAGCUGAAGGCUUGAUGGUUCUAGGCAUCUUCCCUAAUUAGGAUGAGAGAGGACACGGGAACCCAAACUCAUGGGUCAUCUGACCCAGGGCUUGCCUGUUUGAAAGGUCAAAGGUCUUCUGUUUAACUCUUCACUUCCCACACUCUCUAGAUUAGAAUCAAGGCACUUUUGUCACUCUGGUUUGGAAACGCUGCUCUACUCUGUACUCGUCCUGCCCUUCAUGUUGCUGGGUAGGUGGAGGGAUAUUGAACUGGGCAGCCUUGGGUUCUCCAACUGGCAACCGAAACUACAUUCAGGGAUGGUCCUCAGGCCCCACAUUUAAAUAAUCUGGGGUGUUUUAAGUAAAUUUUGCCUGUAGAAUUAGUGUUCAUUCUGUUGAUGGGUGUAGGGGAGUGAGCAAGGAUAUUUAUGUUUUAAUAACCUCCAAAUUAUUCUUAUUAACACUAAAGUUUGAAAAACAUUUCCCUAGAGGAUUCUUCUAUAGGCUUCCAUGAACUUUCUGAGCUUGCCUACACAUUGUGUGUACUUUUUUUUUUUCUGGAAAGAAUUGAGGUCCACAGCUUUCAAUAACUUCUCAAAGGAAUCUGAGUACAGUGGGGUAAGACCCUCUGAAACAGGCUGGUGGACAGAUGAUAAUGUACACAAAAGGUGUCAGAAAGAGGAAAGACUAUUUUUCCCUGGGAAGCAGUUUUUCUACUGUUGAAACAAAUACUUCAUUUUGUAGUUUUGUAAUUUUGUAAUUACAUUCCCAUUUUGUAGUGGGACCGUCUUGGUACCAUCUUUCUUGGUUAUCCACAUAAACAAGAUUUGUGUUCUAAGGAUAAAAUACGGUGCACUCUUUUAACUAUAACAUAUUGAUCAGUAGCAAAGACUUUGGAAAAGGCUUCUUGGGUUUGAAAUACUGCUUUAUCAUUUAUUAGCUCUGUGACUUCAUGAAAAUAACUUACUCUAUGCCUCUAUUUCCUCAUAUGUAAAAAUAUUCUUCUUAAAGGGUUCUUCUUAACCCCUCUUAAAGGGUUGUUACAGUUGUAAAUGGGUUGGUGAACAUAUAGCCCUUAAUAUAGUACCUGGCCCAUAGUAAUAAACAUGAGAUCUAUUAUUAUUAUUAUUAUUAU